AACUCUACCCUCACUCUCUCGGAUGGAAAGCACUCUUCCUUUUUACCAUACUCUCCUUCAUUGCAAGAAUGUUAUCAUUGUUCUCAUUCUCACCAAUAAUGUUAAGGUAUGCUCUUCAAAUCCCAAAUUCUGUUUCCCACUCUGCUCUCCGUCUUUGCUUCCAUUCAACUUCAUCCCUACACUCUCACUCUCAUCCCCAAUCGCUUGAUGAAGCUGUUGAUUCCUUCACUCGCAUGCUCUCUAUGCGUCGUACUCCUCCCAUCAUCCAAUUUAACCAGAUUUUGGGAUCCCUUUCCAAGACAAAGCAUUUCCACGCCGCCGUUUCCCUUUUUCAGCAAUUGCAAAUCAGCGGAAUCGCGCCCAGCGUAGUUACUUUGAGCAUCGUAAUUAAUUGUUGUUGCGGCAUGGGUCGUAUGACGCUUGCUUUCUCUGUAUUGGCCAAGAUUUUCAGGAUGGGUUUUCAGCCUGAUACCAUAACAUUGACAACAAUCCUGAAAGGUCUCUGUCUCUGUGGUAGUGUUGAAAAAGCAGUGCGCUUUCAUGACAGAGUGCUGGCUCAUGGAUUUCACUUCAACCAAGUCACUUAUGGGACGUUGAUCAAUGGGCUCUGUAAGACCGGACACACAUCGGCUGCUAUUCAAGUGUUGAGAAACAUCCCACGGUAUGGCAUUGCUCCUGAUGUCUUCAUGUACAGCGCAAUUAUUGAUAGCCUCUGCAAGGAUACACUUGUAAGUCAGGCUUUUCAUUUAUUUUCUGAAAUGCUUGCUAAGGGAGUUUCUCCUAAUGUUAUCACAUACAAUUCUCUCAUUUUUGGAUUGUGUCUUGAGGGUCAAUAUAAGGAAGCCAUGGAUUUGUUAAGUGAUAUGGUGCUUAGAAACAUUACUCCAAAUGUUCGUACCUAUAGUAUUUUGAUCGAUGGGCUAUGCAAGGAAGGAAAGAUCAAAGAUGCUAAGAGUGUAUUGGCUGUAAUGGCAAAACAUGGUGUGAAACCAGAUGUGGUUACUUAUGCCAGCUUAAUGGAUGGAUAUUGUUUGGUUAAUCAGGUAAAUAAGGCAAAAUAUAUAUUCAACACAAUGGCCCAAAGUAGAGUGUCACCCAAUGUUCAAAGUUACAGUAUCAUGAUUAAUGGCUUGUGCAAAAGUAAAAGGGUCGAUGAAGCCUUGAAUCUCUUUGAAGAAAUGCGUCGUAAGUAUUUGGUUCCAAACACGGUAACUUACAACACUCUUAUUGAUGGCUUGAGCAAAUCGAAGAGAAUCUCUUGUGCUUUGGAGCUUCUUGUCAAGAUGCACGAAAGAGGUCCACCCUCUGAUGUAGUCACUUACAAUUCCUUGUUGGAUGGGAUGUUCAAAAACCAACAAGUUGACAAGGCACUUAUGUUAUUCAAGCAAAUGAAAGAGAGUGGCAUUGAUCCAGAUAUAUGCACGUACAAUGUACUUAUUGAUGGCCUAUGCAAAGGUGGAAGACUUUUAGUUGCAAAAGAGAUUUUUCAAGAUGUUUCCGUUAAAGGCUAUCGUCCAAAUGUGAGGACAUACAAUAUUAUUAUCAAUGGGAUCUGCAAAGAGGGCUUGUUUGAAGAAGCAUUGGCACUCUUGUCAAAAAUGGAAGGCAAUGGUUGCUUACCAGAUGCUGUGACUUUUGAAACUAUUAUUCGUGCUUUGUUUGAAAAAGAUGAGAAUGACAUGGCAGAGAAACUUCUUCGGGAAAUGGUUGCUAGAGGCUUAUUGAAUUGAUAAAAAAAAGUUCUCGUUAUGCAAUCUGCAAUGGAGUUCUUUUCAGGCUCUACCAUUUGUAGGCACAGGACUCCAAUAAUAGUACUACACCUCCAGCAUCUUUGUACUUUAGGUUGGAAAGAGGGUUAUGAUAAACGGGCUAUGCAAAGAGGGUAUACUUGAUGAAGCAUUGGCCUUAAAGUUGGAAAUGGAAGACAAUGGUUGCCCUCUGGAUGCUGUAAUUUAAGAAACAAAUAUCCGUGCUCUGUUGAAAAAAAGGUGCACGCAAGCAUGUUAAGUUGCAGCAUGGCAAAGACAAGAUUGAAGAUCUCUAGUAUGUGAUUUUGGCUUAUCAUGAAUGAAGCACAGUAAAUUCCUUUCUUCCAGAUCAACUGCAGGAACAGCCGAGUGGAUGGCGCCUGAAGUGUUAAGAAAUGAACCUUCAAAUGAAAAGUGCGAUGUUUAUAGCUUUGGAGUCAUAUUAUGGGAGCUCUCUACUUUGCAACAGCCCUGGGGUGGAAUGAAUCCGAUGCAAGUUGUGGGUGCUGUCGGUUUCCAGCAUUGUCGCCUUGUCAUUCCAGAUGAUAUGGACCCUGCUAUCAUGGAGACAUGGAUAUUAUCAAGCAAUCCUGAAAGACAUGAGUGUACUCUUCAAUCAUUUUAUCCUUGUUCUAAGAUAUCAGAACUCUUGCUUAUAGCAUUCUGAAAACCGCUUGUUCUAUCGAAUAUGAAUAAUCACAUGAAAGGAAAUACACAUUUGAUCUUGAUAAGAGAUCCAAAGUUGAGACCUACAUUUGCUGAAAUAAUGGCAGCGCUGAAGCCGAUCAUUGGUUCUCAAUCUCAAGUGCCGAAACCGGGUAGGCAUGAGAAGGCUCAGUCAUCAAGAGUUGGUGCAGACUCAGCAGGAUAGGAAACAAUUAUACAGCUAACCAUAUAUUUGUUCAUUUUUGCUGAUAAAGAAAAUGAUGGGAAGACAAAUCUUUGUUCAUUUUUGCUGAUAAAGAAAAUGAUGGGAAGACAAAUCUUUGUUCAUUUUUGCUGAUAAAGAAAAUGAUGGGAAGACAAAUCUUUGUUCAUUUUUGCUGAUAAAGAAAAUGAUGGGAAGACAAGUUGAGUAUUUUUGCUCAUUUAGUCCUGUGAUUCUUUUCAGUCUUGUCCCUUUCCUUUUUUUUUUUUUUAAUUUCUUUCUUCCCAUUUACUUUUAAAAUGUUUUUUGCAAUCUGCAGUGGAGUCAUUAUCAGUUUGUACCAUUUGUUUGUGUACACAAUUCUUUUUGUAAUUUUGCUAUAAUCAAUUCUAAAUUUUGAUGUGCAUAAAUUAUGAGA